rnacentral:tRNA from 1 species
UGAGGAAUAGCUCAGUGAUAGAGUACAUGCUUAGCAUGCAGGAGGUCCUGGGUUCAAACCCCAAUACUUCCA